ensembl:lncRNA
CGAGGGAGUGAACGGAAGCGACGUAACUGUUUUCUGCACCGAGAGAGACCGAGACACGUGAGACACGUGAGACGCGUCCGGGUCCCUUCUGGCGCUUUGUGCACGACUGCCUGUCCAGCACCGGUUCCUUACAGCCACAGCUUCAGAGCAGCAGCGCGAGCCGCACGUGCUUCUCUCUGUCCGUUUCCAAAGUCCCGCUUGUCCUGCGUUCCCAGUCACGUCGUCACUGUGUUCCAGGGGGACCCCGGUCAGCCAGGACCCCCGGGACUGCAAGGGCAACAGACGCUAGCAGGGGCGCCGGAAAGCACCAUCCUCAAAGGACCCAAGGGUGACCAGGGUUUCAAGGGGUUGCCAGGUUCCCCAGGAAUUCCAGGUUUACCGGGGCCUUACGGGUAUCCGGGGGAGCCGGGCGAGAAGGGGGUUAUUGGACUGCCGGGAGGGCGGGGCGCAUCCGGCUUUAUCGGACCCCCUGGGUCUCAGGGCAGACAGGUAGGGCGGCGACGUCACCCGGAAGAGAUACUGUCAUCUGUCAUCCCUGCUCUGAGAUUUUCACCGCUCACUGACUGUAAUCAUGCACACAUUUUCCUGCACAGGGCUUCCCUGGGAGUCCAGGAUUCCCUGGGCAACCUGGAUUUCCAGGAUUUAAAGGGGAGCCUGGAGACCCCGGCCCCCCGGGGCCCAUCACCUAUUCGGAUGGCGGAAGAGCUAUACAAGGACCCCCUGGUGACCGAGGGAUCGGUGGCCUCCCUGGUGAACCAGGUGACGCGGGACUUCCAGGCAUUGCCGGCAAGCCAGGGUUCCCAGGAGGCCCAUCUUCUGUCCCAGGUAUUGCAGGUCUCUCACACAAAUGACACAAUGUCACCCUUGUCCUCAAAGCUGGUGAUUGGCUGACAUUAUGCUCCUCCCCUCAGGUCAACCGGGGCAGCAGGGAUUCCCAGGUGCCGCCGGACCCAAAGGAGAGAAAGGAAGCAAAGGUCGGCCGAGCACUGGGUUCCAGGGCCCCCCAGGAAAACGAGGGCCACCCGGCCCCUCGGGACUUCCGGGUCCACCGGGCCCUGUGGGACCCGUUCCAUCUGCAACAUAUGGACCACCUGGCCAGCCAGGCCCAAGGGGGCCACAGGGGUCACCUGGAUUCAGAGGACCUAAAGGAGAUCCAGGGGACUGUAAUUGCCUUGGGGGAGGGGGACUUGGACGGCAAGGGCCCCCUGGCCCUCCGGGACCCUUGGGUUCACCGGGACUCUUUGGGAGGAAAGGAGAGGCAGGGGAUCCUGGUGUGCUGGGAAUCCCUGGUCCUCCAGGGCCAAAAGGUGUCACCGGCCCACGGGGCUAUUUUGGCCGGAAGGGAGAGAAGGGCAAUUCCUUCAUUCCGCCGGGCCGUGGCGCGAAAGGUGAUCCGGGUGCUCCGGGACUCCGUGGGCUCCCAGGGGACGUGGGACGACCCGGUAGAGAUGGCCUCCGAGGGUUUCCUGGACAGCCGGGACCUCCUGUGAGCGAAUGCAGUUUUAUUGUCCUCUCUUUCGGUCAACAGCGCUGUGGCUCCCAUGAAGUCACGACCACCAGGCGGCAAGGAAAUACACAGAAAUACACAGUCCGCGCUACAGACCCCCGCCGGGUGCCUGGGGGGUCUCGUAAUGUUCCUCAUUGUUCCCCUUCGCUGUAG